ensembl:lncRNA
AUGGAGCGCUGUUACCUUCCUGUAGAAGCGGUACCUAUUGAUCUCACAUUUGCAUGUUUUCGAACUUCUAGGUUGGCAGAAGCUGGGGCUAAUAAUGGGAGCUUACUUCCCAGAUUUGACCCACCGACCCUUUGGCCAGCAAGUUCAGCUGCUCAGUGGUUUGAUCCGCUGCGCCACCAUGCGCUCCUUAAUAUAUUUACACAUAUUUCAGCUUUAAUUGCAGUUUUCACAAAAUAUAUGUUUUAUUCCUUGAAAGGUAUGUUACUUCUUUUACUACUGCAACAAUAGCAACAAAUUACUGCUAAUGUUGGAGAAUAAAGGGACAGAGCAAACAAUACUUAAAUUCCAGGGCACAAUAUUUGUUAGACUAGGGGUGCUAAUAAAUGGUGGUCAGCUUCCCUCUUCCAGAUUUUAUGCAACUUUUCUUUUUAUUCUCCGUGAAAAGUAGUUCAGCAAUGGUAAAUGAAUCAGUCCUUUAACUCUUUGAAUUGCAGGUGUGAUAUUACGACUCUGACUUUUAUAUAGGGCCGUAUUAUUUGUAUUCCUAAUAUAUUAAUCCAAAAUUACAGUCCCUAGUUACAUUUGCACUGUAGCCACCAUAAAUCCAUGGGCCUGUGCUGAAAUUAUGUGUGUGUAUAUAUACGAGGAGAAGGAAAUCUGAAUUUUUCAACUGCCUUUAUUAUGAAUCUGGUAAGGUACUUCAAGCUUGUUAAGGAAUAAUUCAUCUUCAUUAAGGGAUCUUGAGUUAAUUGCUGAUCAAUUAUGCUGGUGAUUGUGGGUAUGAGUGACUGACUGUGAGUGGUAGUUAUUCCUGUUAAAUGAGGCAGUGAUCUUAUGUAUGCAAGAUCUUUUUGCCUUGAACCUCAAGGGCUGUAUGUAAGUGUAUCCCUUUCUACUAGUUAUUCUGAUUUUUUUUUGAGAAAAAGUAAAGAUACCACUGUUGUAACUACUUGAUUCUCAGCCCACAGUAGAAGAGAGAAGUCAAAGCUCUUUGAGUGGAAGGAACAAGCGAUGGGUCACAUGGAUGUUCUUUGUAUCAUGUGGAUGUAGCUUCAAGAUGAAGCUGUUUUGAAUCCCAGUUUUGAGAAAAAGACAGGAUAUAAAUAAUUAUAAUACUACGAAUCAUUGAUGAAUAGUGGUUGUGUCAGUUUGAUGUGUUAAUUUUUGUAAACAUUAUAAAUUCUAGUCUUUACAACCUCCACAAAAGAUGCAUGCCUGGUCUAUACAUAUACAUAGACGAGCCUGACUUAUAAUGGAUUGAUUUCCUCACUUGUUCAAUGAAUGACAGCUUUGGGGAGUGGAAAGAGCUUAGCAUGGACAGAGUUGCAGCUGUGACCACACAUAAUGCAUCCAUUGUCCAAUGAUGGGUUUGAUUUUUGAAUGAUCACUCCAACCUUCUCUAUGAUAUUUAUACUCCUGCUUUUGGCAGUAGUUUUUGUUGGUGAGGCUCUCCCAAGAAACUGGAAAGUAGUCUGAACUAUGGUUUUCAAUGCCAUGUCAUGGAUGCAUGGGCAGAUCCUUAGCUGAGCAGGCACCACAAGUUUGCAAGGAAAUUCAAAUAAACAUCCUAAAGUGAGGGAUUUCGGCAGGGUGGCCAGAGGGAGCAGAUUUUAAAAGCCUGAUGGUAAUCCAGGGUAUUACUGAAAGAGAUGCUCUGGAACUAUUAAAACACACUUUAGAAAAGAAGGAAAGCUACCCUUAGUCCCUUAGGGUACAGAUGUGGGAGUGCUGUUUAAGCCAAAUGUUAGAGCUGCCCUCCUGAUGUUGCUGAAUUGUCACUACCAGCAUUCUUCCCCAUUAGCUAUGUUGGUUAGGGUUGCUGGGAACUGCAGUUCAGCAAUGCUGAGGGAGACUAACUUUUCCUCACUUUGAUGUAGUUGUAAGUCACCUUGAUUCCUGUGUUAUAAGACAAAUGAGUUACAAAUAAAACAAUUUCUGUGGGUCAACAGCGUUUUAAAUGAGACGGGUUGCUUAUCCUGGUGUAGAGGUAUUAUUAUUCUUAUUAUUAUUGACACAAUGACAUAGUCUGACACAGCAAACAAGAAAGAUAUGCUGGAUUUCGUAUCACAAAAUCACAAGUAGAACACUUCCCAAGCGUUUAGGACUGUGUGAUAUAUUUUUGGAUGAUGCACGCAGAUCCCAGUGGGGUGGCCUUUUGCAGUUGGCAGAUCGUAAUUUUGUCAAUGUCUAUUGUUUCCAAAUGCCAGCUGAGAUCUUUUGGCACGGCACCCAAUGUGCCGAUCACCACCGGGACCACCUGUACUGGUUUCUGCCAGAGUCUUUGAAGUUCAAUCUUGAGGUCCUGAUAGUGGCUAAGGUUUUCCUGUUGUUUUUCAUCAAUCCAACUGUCACCUGGGAUGGAGACAUCAAUAAUCCAAACCUUUUUCUUUUCCACAACUGUGAUGUCUAGUGUGUUGUGUUCCAGAACUUUGUCGGUCUGGAUUCGAAAGUCCCACAGUAUCUUUGCAUGUUCAUUUUCCAUUGUUUUUGCAGGUUUGUGAUCCCACCAGUUUUUUUUUUUUUUACUGCUGGGAGGUGG